CGACCGUGAUCCGUGAGGAUUGUGGUUGAUGGGGCAGAAGUCAGCAGCGGUCGUAGUACUUGUCAGGGAUCGGCGCGGUGGUUCAUGAGACUGAACACCGGCUACAAAUGAUGGGGAAGGAC
rfam:Enteractinococcus sp. TASWS1574 116, whole genome shotgun sequence.